CUAAAAUGUGUAAAAUGAAGUUGCACCCUGACCACCUUGGACAUAUGUUCUCAGGACCUCCCAGGGGCUGUGUCAUGGGCCAUGAGCACUCAGGUUUGGUUCAGAAUAACUCUCUUCAAAUAUUUUACAUAGUUUGACUCUUUUUUGUCGACACUUUGCGCAUCCCCUUGACUGUGCUGUAACUGGAGAAGGACACCCGCUCGCCCCUCAAGGACUGCAUCACUCUCCAGCACUCCUCCUCUUCUUAUAACUCUUGGUGAUUUCCAUUUCCAGGGGGUGAUCCUGCAAAACCUUGGCCUGCUCUCUUUUGAUGGUCUUGACCUCAAAACUACCCCAGCCCUCCUCUCCCAUGGCCACACCCUAGAUAUUGUGGCCCAUAACCAUAAAGUCUUCUCUCUCCAUGAACACAAUUCCAAGUGGCCAACCAGCAGCUGUGACCUCCUUGACAGAGCAGGAGUAUCGCCAUCUUGGACGAGCACUGCCAUUUUAAGUUCACCCUGAUCAAAAACCGCCUAAAUCCAAAGGGCAUCAGCCUAAUGGCUCAGGUAUUAUGGUGGGCACCAAACAUUCUCAGCAGCAUAUGCCAGUUCCUCAAGUCUUCUCUUCAUUAGACCAAUGUCCGCAGGCCCCCAGUUUUUCCCAACAGGAUGUGGACCACAGAUCAGCCAUGUCCUGGCAUCUUCACCUGGUGCUUCUGUCCAUGUCUUCUUGUCCCUGGAAAGCAUGUUCUCUGAGAGCAGAGAUUGUGUUUCCUGCAUCUCUGUCUCCUGUUGCUCAGCACAGAACUGGUACCACAGGAAUAGAUGGUGAAUGUCUCAUACCCACUUUGGAUCCAGAGCAGGCCUAGGAGAGACUCAGGUUGACGCACAGUUUGGAGCAAGAAUUAAAGAACCACGAACUUCAAGGUAAAACGGGCAACGGCGUUGGGGCAAGCCUCUCUGCAGCCAGCGUGUCCAGCCUCUCCUGCGUGCCAGAAGUCCCCAGGCAGGAGUGUGGUGGGACAUCCGGCUGGGGUAAGGACAGGCACCCUCCCACUGUGUCAGGGCCCAGAGAGUGGGUGGAGAAGCUCUGCAAGAGACCUGUGCAAGGGCGCCUUGGAGGAGCCUGCAGUCCCCACAGGGGUGUUUGUGGAUAACACUUGGGGAGCCCUAGCCUUUUGGGGUCACGGAGGGCUUGGCCUCUCACCUCAGAGCUGCGGAGGAGCCGCUUCUACAUCAGGACAUCAGAAGCUAGAACGGGAUGGCCGGCGAGGGGCCUCUUGUUGGGGUCACAGAGAUGGGUCGCAGAGAUGACCCGUGUGGAAGAUUGGAUUCUCACCCCACCUCUGCCCCUAGAUGUCCUGGCGACCCUCCCCUCUGUAGUCUUGGUUUUCUGCAAAACAGUUAUGACCUCCUGCCAUACUGGGUCCUUUGCUUAUGUAUUGUGUUUACUCUUUACUGUGUGU